ACCCGCUGAACUUAAGCAUAUCAAUAAGCGGAGGAAAAGAAACUAACAAGGAUUCCCCUAGUAACGGCGAGUGAAGCGGGAAGAGCUCAAAUUUAAAAUCUGGCAGUGUAUUCUGUCCGAGUUGUAGUCUAGAGAAGCAUCAUCCGUGCUGGACCAUGUACAAGUCUCUUGGAACAGAGCGUCAUAGAGGGUGAGAAUCCCGUCCUUGACAUGGACUCCCAGUGCUUUGUGUUGUGCUCUCAACGAGUCGAGUUGUUUGGGAAUGCAGCUCAAAAUGGGUGGUAAAUUCCAUCUAAAGCUAAAUAUUGGCGAGAGACCGAUAGCGAACAAGUACCGUGAGGGAAAGAUGAAAAGCACUUUGGAGAGAGAGUUAAACAGUACGUGAAAUUGUUGAAAUGGAAACGCUUGAAGUCAGUCGCGUUCUCUGGGAUUCAGCCUUGCUUUUGCUUGGUGCAUUUCCUAGUCUACGGGCCAGCAUGAAUUUUGACCAAUGGAAAAAGGCUGGGGGAAUGUGGCACCUUCGGGUGUGUUAUAGCCCCUUGUCACAUACGUUGGUUGGGAUUGAGGUCUUAGUGCACGCUUCGGUUGUGCUUUGAUGCUGGCGUAAUGGCUUU
rnacentral:rRNA from 1 species